rnacentral:rRNA from 1 species
AUUGAACGCUGGCGGCAGGCCUAACACAUGCAAGUCGAGCGGAUGAAGGGAGCUUGCUCCUGGAUUCAGCGGCGGACGGGUGGGUAAUGCCUAGGAAUCUGCCUGGUAGUGGGGGAUAACGUCCGGGAACGGGCGCUAAUACCGCAUCCGAUCUUAGGGUGAACCGGGGGGAUCUUCGGACCUCACGCUAAUAGAUGAGCCUAGGUUGGAUUAGCUAGUUGGUGGGGUAAAGGCCUACCAAGGCGACGAUCCAUAACUGGUCUGAGAGGAUGAUCGGUCACACUGGAACUGAGACACGGUCCAGACUCCUACGGGAGGCAGCAGUGGGGAAUAUUGGACAAUGGGCGAAAGCCUGACCCAGCCAUGCCGCGUGUGUGAAGAAGGUCUUCGGAUUGUAAAGCACUUUAAGUUGGGAGGAAGAGCAGUAAGUUAAUACCUUGCUGUUUUGACGGUACCAACAGAAUAAGCACCGGCUAACUUCGUG